UACGGGGGGGGCAAGCGUUGUUCGGAAUUACUGGGCGUAAAGGGCGCGUAGGCGGCGGGUCAAGUCGAGUGUGAAAGCCCCGGGCUCAACCUGGGAGGUGCGCUCGAGACUGGUCUGCUAGAGUUCGGGAGAGGAGCGUGGAAUUCCCAGUGUAGAGGUGAAAUUCGUAGAUAUUGGGAAGAACACCGGUGGCGAAGGCGGCGCUCUGGACCGAGACUGACGCUGAGGCGCGAAGGUCAGGGGAGCAAACGGG
rnacentral:rRNA from 1 species